GAGUUUGAUCGUGGCUCAGAUUGAACGCUGGCGGCAUGCCUUACACAUGCAAGUCGAACGGCAGCAUGAUCUAGCUUGCUAGAUUGAUGGCGAGUGGCGAACGGGUGAGUAAUACAUCGGAACGUGCCCUGUAGUGGGGGAUAACUAGUCGAAAGAUUAGCUAAUACCGCAUACGACCUGAGGGUGAAAGUGGGGGACCGCAAGGCCUCAUGCUAUAGGAGCGGCCGAUGUCUGAUUAGCUAGUUGGUGGGUAAAGGCCCACCAAGGCGACGAUCAGUAGCUGGUCUGAGAGGACGAUCAGCCACACUGGGACUGAGACACGGCCCAGACUCCUACGGGAGGCAGCAGUGGGAAUUUGGACAAUGGGCGAAAGCCUGAUCCAGCAAUGCCGCGUGUGUGAAGAA
rnacentral:rRNA from 1 species